UACGAAGGGGGCUAGCGUUGCUCGGAAUUACUGGGCGUAAAGGGCGCGUAGGCGGACAUUUAAGUUAGAGGUGAAAGCCCAGGGCUCAACCCUGGAAUAGCCUUUAAUACUGGAUGUCUUGAGUUCGGGAGAGGUGAGUGGAAUGCCGAGUGUAGAGGUGAAAUUCGUAGAUAUUCGGCGGAACACCAGUGGCGAAGGCGACUCACUGGGCCCGAUACUGACGCUGAGGCGCGAAAGGCGUGGGGAGCAAACAGG
rnacentral:rRNA from 1 species